AACGAACGCUGGCGGCAGGCCUAACACAUGCAAGUCGAGCGAGGACUUCGGUUCUAGCGGCGGACGGGUGAGUAACGCGUGGGAAUGUGCCCUUCUCUACGGAAUAGCCCAGGGAAACUGGGCGUAAUACCGUAUACGCCCUAUCGGGGAAAGAUUUAUCGGAGAAGGAUCGGUCCGCGUUGGAUUCGGUUGUUGGUCGGGUAAUGGCCUACCCAGCCGAAGAUCCAUAGCUGGUUUUAGAGGAUGAUCAGCCACACUGGGACUGAGACACGGCCCAGACUCCUACGGGAGGCAGCAGUGGGGAAUCUGAGACACUGGGGGCAACCAGGAUCUAGCCAUGCCGCGUGAGUGAGGAAUGCCUUAGGAUUGUAAAGCUCUUUCAGCUGGGCAGAUAAUGACGGUACCAGCAGAAGAAGCCCCGGCUAACUCCGUG
rnacentral:rRNA from 1 species